CCAUCAAUGAUGAAUAUGCUUCAACUUUUUCUGUGUAUGGAUUUUGUGAAUAAGCACUACAGAAUAAUACAAGUUAAUUUAAAGUAUAUUAUUGUUUAUUUUAUUUGGAUUUUUAUUAUUAUUAUGAUUAUUAUUUGUAUUUUUUUGUAUUUUUUUUUGCCACACCCCCCAUAAUCCCACGCCCAAACAUAAUGCAACACGGUGACAUCGCGCUAUUGCGCCAUUUUGCGACUACUUGGCGGUCUUUUUUGGAUCGGCAGGCAUCAGUUUAUCAGGCGGCCUGCGGUGCACUUACAGCUCAAACUGUGAAGCCAUAUUGUUGUAAGGUUGAUGAAAAAUGAGGUCAUGGCCUGUUUCAGUAUGAAGUGGGGGAAGGGGAAGCUUGCUUUCACCAAGAUCAAUCUGUACACUGUUGUCACAGAGAGUGUCCAGAAAACAUCAAAAGAGACGGGGCAAAUACUGCAGCAGCCACUGCCUUUUGUUUAAAAUAUGCCCCAGCAGAGCCGUCGCAAGGAGGGUGAGAGGCCCUGUGCAAAGUUGAUGUGCGAGGCCCUCUACAAUUUUGCGUGUGUAUGUGUGUGUGUGGUGGGGGAGGUUGCUGUAGCAAGGCAAGGCAAGUUUAUUUAUAUAGCAAAUUUCGAACAAAAUGGUAAUUCAAAGUGCUUUACAUAAAAUUAAGUAAAAUAAUCAUGAAGAACAAAACUAAAACAAGCAAUUUUAAAACUUUGGAAAUUAUUAAAAAAUUGACUUGAAUUUAAAACAGUUAGAAAUAGAAAAUGAUCUUACAGUUGAUACAUAAAAUACAGUGCAAUCAGGUCGGACAUCGCACAGUGCUCAUUCAAUAAAUGCACAGCUAAACAGAUGAGUUUUGAGUCUAGAUUUAAAUGUGACUAGUGUUUUAGCACAACUGAUCUCUUCUGGAGGCUGAUUCUGGAAGCAAUGUAUUUUGGUCCUAGGUCUUUGAGUGACUUCUAGACAAGUAGAAGUACUUUAAAAUCAAUCUUAAAUGUAACUGGAAGUUAAUGAGGACUGGUGUGAUAUGCUCAGAUGUUCUAGUCAGAAUCCUGGCAGCAGUGUUCUGGAUGAGCUGCAGCUGUCUAAUGGUCUUUUUGGGAAGGCCGGUGUGGAGCCUAUUACAAUAGUCCACCCUGCUGGUGAUAAAGCAUGAACAAGUUUCUCCAAGUCUUGGCUGGAAACAAAACAUCUAAUUCUUGCAAUGUUUUUUAAAUGAUAGUAUGCUGAUUUAGUUACUGCUUUGACAUGACUACUGAAACUAAGGUCUGUCUCCAGAAUCACACCACGUUUCCUGUCUUGAUUUUUAGUUGUUAGACCCCUAGAGUCAAAGUAUGCAUUCACCUUAAAAACUUCAUCUUUGUUUCCAAAUGCAAUGACUUCAGUUUUUUCCUUGUUUAACUGAAGAAAGUUCUGGCACAUCCAGCUAUUAAUUUCAUCAAUGCAUUGGCAGAGGGAGUCAGUGGGGCUGUAUUCAUUUGGAGAUAAGGCUAGGUAAAUCUGGGUAUCAUCAGCAUAGCUGUAAUAGGCAAUUAGGUUCUUUCUCAUUAUUUUACUUAGAGGAAGCAUAUACAGGCUAAACAAGAGCGGUGCAAGAAUUGAACCUUGUGGGUCUCCACAUAUCAUGGAUGUCUACUUAGACUUAUGCUCUCCUAGACUCACAUAAUGAUCGCUCAUUUUUAAGUAUGACCUGAACAAUUUGAGUACCAUCCCAGAAAGCCCGACCCAGUUUUCCAGUCUCUCUAGUAGUAUGUUAUGAUCGACAGUGUCAAACGCAGCACUGAGAUCUAGCAAUACCAGCACUGAUAUAUUGCCAGAGUCACAAUUUAAGUUAAUAUCAUUUAUUAUCUUAAUGAGUGCUGUCUCUGUGCUGUGAUGCGGUCUGAAACCAGAUGUUUAAGUAUUUAUUCAGCUGAUUAAAAACUACCUUUUCUAUAAUUUUGCCUAUAAAAGUAAGAUUAGAUAUUGGUCUAUAAUUGCUCAAAAUGGUGUUAUCAAGAUUGCUCUUUUUCAGGAGGGGCUUAACAACUGCAGUUUUCAGGGAGUUUGGAAAAGUCCCAGAAAGAGAUUUACUUCUAAACAGUUAAGCACACUUUUGAAAAAAUAUGUGGGAAGUGUGUCAAUAUAGCAAGUUGAUGAUUUUAGUUGCUGCACUAUGUCUUCCAAAAUGUUGUUUGUUUUCUUACUGACUAUUAUUGGAGCAAUAUCAUUAAUAACAUUCUUAACUUUUGAGUUGAAGGAAUCAAGGAGAAUAUCAACAGAGUCGGUUGGUGUUAAAGAUAUGGCCUCCGUAAAUAGUACACUAGUGUUCUUGUUAGGGCUGCACUAUUAAUUGCAUGCAAUUGUCAUGCAUGUCUCGUCAGUAAAGCUGGAUCUGUGAUUAGCGGUUGAUGUCAAUAACCUGCUUUCAAAUGGAGCCGCACUUAAUAGACAGAGCCGUAGUUCGCUGACAAGCUACGCAAUCUCACGUUCAUAACCGCAUGAGAUUCUUCUGCGAUUUUGAACGCAAUAAUGCACCACUUGUCAGCGAACUACGGCUCUGGUUAUUAAGUGCGGCUACAUUUGAAAGCAUAUCCUUCUGACAGAGACAGUUCUAGAGUAAGUGGUAGCAGAGAUCAAUAUAUCAAAGAAAAUACAGAAGUGAUCAGAUAGUACUACGUCCUUAAUAACAAUGAAUGAAAUGUUUAGAGCCCUACUGAUGAUUACAUCUAGUGUGUCCACCUUUGUGUGGGUCCAUGCACAUGCUGAAUCAAGUCAAAGGUAUUUAGAACUGUUAUCAUUUGUUUGUAGUUUUGUUUUCUGCAUUGUCUAUGUGAAAAUUAAAAUCCCCUGCAUUAGCAAAACAGUCAAACUCUGAGGAAAUCAUUGAUAACAUUUCUGUUACCUCAACAAAUGCUGAAGAGUAUUUUGGAGGCCUGUAAAUAAUAAUAAAAAGAAUGUGUUGAGCACCUUUUAGCACAAUCCCUAAAUAUUCAAAAGACAAGUCAUGACCAAAUGACACUUGUUUGCAUUGAUAGACAUCUUUAAAAAAGCAGCUCCACCUCUCCUAACAGUCCUGCAAACACUCAUGGAAGUGAAGUUAGGAAGGACUGCUUCAUUGAGGACUGAUUUAGUGAGCGAAUGUUUAAAGAUGCUAACUUGAUGGCAGUGCUUUAUGUCAUUACAUCAGUUUUAGUUUGAUGCAUAUUAGGUGAGUUUGCCCUUCGGCUUAAGAUGGCCUUAAACUUUCUGUCACAUGAUAAAAGUGAAAUUGAGAAAGCUACAGGCACACUGGGUUCCCACUUGUUCUUUAAACAUUUGUGAAUGUUGCGGUUAUAAUAGCAGGGACCCGACACAUAUCACUGAGAGCUUCUAUCAGUUGUUUUUGGUUUGAUGUUUUGGGACCCUGCUGUUUUCUUGUUGACAUUUGCGGGCUUGCAGCGAAUGAGUGAGAGAGUUUAGUCCAAGCAUACACCAAUUCUACCAUUUUCAGUGAAAAGCACAGAAGUGGAGAUGCUGGAGAGAGGAAUAAUGUGUCUGGUGAGAUGGGUUGUGUCUCUGGUGUUUCUUGUGGCUGUGAUAUGUUGUCUUGGCUUCCCCGGCUGUCUUCAAGAAAGUCAUCCUUGAGUACUGAGUCUUGUAUCUGUUUUGAUACAUCACAGUCUGUCUGUGAGGAGCUCUGAGGGCAGGUCUCUUCCGGGAUGGUGUCCAUCAGCAGUGCUUUUUGUGGCUGCAUGGUGUUAUCAGUUGGGAGUGGUCCACUGAUGAACGACUGAACUUGGAGUCUUCAAAGUGUUUGAAAGAGUUCACUGAAGUCCUUCUUAAGGAUGUUUGACUGCUUUUUGAGAGUAUCAUUCUUCCCCACAUGGAUUGAUAAUUAGAUUUGUAGUCUUGUGCUUCAUUUUCUGAAGUUCCGUGUUCACAUAAGAGACCGUUGCUUGAGGAAUGCAGCAUGUUAUUGUAGUCCUGCUACGGAUGUUUCUGAUAAUAGAGUCACCCACUAUCAGUGUCCUAGGCUCGGCUAUGCUCUGAGCUGAAUGUCACUGUCUGUAAGUAACGGUGUUAGCUGCUAAUCACAUUUGGGGAUUCCUCACCCGCAUUCAUUAAUUCUUCAAAUCUGUUUUCAAGAUGUAUAGUGGGAGGUAGAAUACUGGUAUUUACAAGCCUUGUCAUAGUUGAAUCUGGGGUAGAGAAAGCUACGGCAGCAAUACGAGAAACUCAUGACAAUCUGAUGUCUUGUGUUCCUCUGGGUCUUGCACCCUGUUUGUGCCAUCGAUUAGUGUGAUGAUCCGUUUCGGCUUGUUCCUCUACACUUGGUACAAACUGUUGAGAUUCAGAAGAUUCACGGGACUCACCGGCUGAGAGGGUCCAUGACGACAGUCUGCUGAGUGUUUCGCCUGUUUUGGAAGUCCAGCAAGUAACUUUGUUUCAAGAAUCACAAUUCUUUGUAGAAGUUUGCAGCAGUUCAUGCAACAAGUAGAUCCAACAGGAGGCAUUUUCUCUCUCUUCCAUUUGAAUGUAGGCAGUUGUUUUCCCAUCUCCAGAAUGUAAGCUGCUGGCAGUGGGAGGCAAAGUCUUCUUUUGUAGUAUUAUUCCAGUCAAAAAAAGUUUUUAGUUUUAGCGUUUGUGCCAAAAAUAUUUUGUUUGAGCACUGUGCUGAUCUGCUGAAGUAAAAAAAUCGUAGAAAAAUCUGAGAAAAGUACAGAAAUAAUAAGCGAAGUGCAGAACAGUAGGCUAGAACGUCCGAACGGUAGCAAAGCCAGAACCGCAACAAACUCAACUUUAACAUGCAUCUGUUCGAUUGUGAUGCCUUGCUCACUGACAUGCUUGCGCACAAAUCAUGGCCACACACUAGCUCAUAAGGAUCUACAAUCAUAAUUAUAAUAAGUUAAUAAGAAUGCUCAAAUUAGUUCUAGGCUUGUAGACAGUUAUAUAUGAAGAGUUCAGAUGGAAAGAGCGAUCCAAUAUUUUCUCAUCUUCCUAUGUUUAUGUUCAGUAUUUCACUUUAUUGGGAAAGAAAAGAAACUGUUUAUUGCUAUUAAAGUGAAAUUAAACGGUACUAGGUUUUUGCAGCUGAAUUUUACAUCUAAAAUCAAUUUGCACUAUUUGAAAAUAAUAUUUUCUUUUAAAAUGUGCACUCUCACUCUUAUUCGUAUGUUUAAUAGUCGAAAACGCAAAUGUCUAUUGUCACAUUUAUUUUAUGUUUUACAUGAAUCAUUAACCUAUCGCAUUUUUUCAAUUCAAAAGGGCGAAAUUUCAUACAAGGUUGAGUAGUUUGCAUCUCUAGAUAGUCUAUUAUGUUUAGUCGCUGAACAUUUCAAUCAUAAAACAGUUCUCUAAUACCGUAGGCUACUGCUUACAUUUUUCCACAAACUCUAGUUAUGUUGUGACAGUAAGACCCACAUUCUUUGAUAUGAUUGGCCAUCUCGACCACUGAGGCAGACCAGCCUAGAGCCUUGCACGGACCUAAAAUUUAAGCCCUAUCCCUAGACCUAGAUUUUUUUUUUAAUGGCCAAGCGGCCAGUGCCAGACAGUGAACCUAUGGAUCAGUUUAGCCUUCUUAAAUCAUCACGACUUGCCUAAAAUAAAAUCUAUAGAUAUAUAAAACAGUUCAAGUAUUUUAAAAAAUUAAACCUAGAUAAAUGUGCGCUAUAUCCAGUAGUUUGUGCGGAGAGUGCAAGCAAAAGCGUGCUGGCCAGUGCAAUCACUUGCAUUUUUUUCAGUGGAUAUGCAGUAAUUUUUGCUCAUAAAGGUAAGAGUAAUACAUCAUUCGUAACUGUAAAUUGUCUACUUUUAUUUGUGUGCAAUCACAUUAUCAACAAAUCGUUGUGCUUUUAUAAAAAAAAAAGAAAAUAGUCAUGAUGCGCUUUCUACCGUCUCGUCUUGAACAGGAGCACUUAACAAAAAUGAACCAAAGCUCAGUGAAUACAUGACUCACGGACGUGACAAAUAUAUCUAUAGAAAACUUUAAAAGACUACUUAACAAAAUACAACACAUCAGAAACAAAAACUCAUUCAUUAUAAAGAUAAUCCAUAAAGAUGAACUUCUCUCUUAAGGCUUGUAAAAUUAAGAGUUGGCGAGUCAGGAUUAGCAACAUCAUCCUUGCUACACCAACUCAGAAAACUAUUUAUUAGUAAAUAAUUCAAUCUCAUUCCUAUUUACCCCAUGACUCAUUUAUGGUAAUAAUUUUUUGAAGAUGCUUUAUGUCAAGCUUAAGCCUUUUGCGUGCAUUUAAAAGCAGAACACUGUGAUGCUGCGGGACACUUAACACUGUUAAGCCGCUAUUGACAGUCAUGUUAGCACGGUCUCGUGUUGUUUCCCUCAGUGCGGCAAUUUUUUCAUCACUAAUUGAUGGAUGUCUUAAAUAUAAAAAUAAGGAGAAGCCUUAAACAGGCCUAAGGACAGCCCGCAUCUGAACUAUGUUGUGGAAAUUGGCCCGAAACCCGGCCUGGAGUGUAAAAAAAGUCAGGGUGAAAUGCAGGGCUCUAGACCAUUUAAAAGUUAAACUUUAUAACUUUUUGUCGUCCUAUCAACAAACAGCUUUACUCAUUCUUAUACUUAGAGUCUUGUACUGUCUAUCCGCUAUGACUAUUUUAGUCUACCAAAGGACAAGAUGGGUGGAAAAAAUAGUAAUAAAAAUGAGAUAUAAAUGACAUAAAAUGCAGGCGAGGCCCUCUAGAGGUGUGAGGCCUAGUGAAGUUGCACACUUUGCACAGCCCUUGCGACGUUACUGUGCACCAGACAGGGUGGGUGGAGGUGGCAGGAAAAAAAGAAAGAUGUUAAUAAAAUGUAUGUUAAUGUUUUCAAAACUAUUCAGUUCCAAUAAUGUUGAUGUUAAAAUGUAAUUAUUUUGUAAAUGUUCUGUUCCAUGUUAAAUGUAAAUGAUACAACAUGUGAAUAAAUAAAUCAUAUUUGUUAUAAUCCA